GGCAGUUCUCGGGUGAUGCAUCCUAGAAUCAGGCUCCCUCCUCUCUGGUUCUGGGUGCAUCACCGGAGAACCUCA
rfam:Myotis lucifugus cont2.64843, whole genome shotgun sequence.